UCUGGUAAAAAGUUUUAAAAGGGUAUUGACAAUGUGUUUAAUACCCUUUAAUAUGUUCUACAUAGAAACGAAAUGAG
rnacentral:tRNA from 1 species